ACAUGCUCAUCAUGCCCUGCAAACUCCUAUGAACUGGAACUACAGCAGCUGUUCUGCCAGGGACAGGUUCUUCUCUAAAGUUCCAGCUCUCUGGAGGGAGAAAGCCCUGACUUUGGAUGGAGUUGAGCUCUGUCGCCCAGGCUGGAGUGCAGUGGCACCAUCUCAGCUGACUGUGACCUCCGCCUCCUGGGUUCAAGUGAUUCUCCUGCAUCAGCCUCCCGAGUAGCUGGGACUACAGGUGCACACCACCAUGCCCGGCUAAUUUUUGUAUUUUUAGUAGAGACGGGGUUUUGCCAUGAUGGCCAGGUUUGGUCUCAAACUCCUAACCUCAAGUGAUCCACCCUCCUCAGCCUCCCAAAGUGCUGGGAUUACAGGCGUGAGCCACUGCGCCCCGCCUACUUGAAUUUUUUUUUUUUUUUUUUUUUUUGAGACAGAGUUUUGCUCCUGUUGCCCAGGCUGGAGUGCAACGGCAUGAUCUCGACUCACUGCAACCUCUGCCUCCUGGGUUCAAGUGAUUCUCCUGCCUCAGCCUCCCAAAUAGCUGGGAUUACAGGUGCCCACCACUGUGCCUGGCUGAUUGUAUUUUUAGUAGAGAUGGGGUUUCAUCAUGUUGGUCAGGCUGGUCUUGAACUCCAGACCUCAGGUGAUCGGACUGCCUCGGCCUCCCAAAGUGCUGGGAUUACAGGCAUGACCCACUGUGCCCGGACCUGCUUGAAUUUUUAUGAUGAGCAUGUUGGCAGAUCACGACUGCCAGCUCCGUGACAGCAAGAACCUUGUAUGACUUUUUCAUGAUGGAUGUUCAUCUGUGCCAUCUGUAAAUAUUGAAUAAAUAUUUGUGGAAUACAUGAAUCUAAAAGUGAAUGGAAUGAUAAAGAGGUAAGAUAUCAGGUGAGGGAGUAAGAUUUUACAGUACGGUGACUUUACUAGAAUGCAAACUCUAUGAGGGCUGGACCUUGAUGAGUAUUGGUUGCUUCAUCUGUACAAUAAAGAGGCUUGAUUUGGUGAACUCUGAAAUCAUUUUGGUUAUAAACCUCAAUGACUCUGAUUCUGAACUGUCACAGAAAGAUAUGAGCCCAGAAUAAAAUAUCUAGAACAUAUAUAUUUAACUCAAUUUUUGUGACUUCAGUUCAGAAUUUAAUUAAUUUUAGUUGGGAAUUUAGCAAACCCACGUGAUCAUUUAGUGUCUUUAUUCUUAUAUUUUGACAGGGAAAGGGUCAUGACAUCUACUACAGCAUUUGGCACAGACCCAGCUGUCUGCAGUACUAUCAAGAGAUGACAUGGACUUCAAGGAUCAAACAGGGGAGAAAAAGGCUUAAAAGAAAAACAAGUCUCCAUCAAAGGUAAUAACCACAAUGAGAACUAUACAUAGCUAUGUGCUUAUAGGUCUUAGUUCACAUUCCCCUCAUUAAAAUUAUAGCUCAAGAAAUAAAGGGCUGUUUAAUGACUUGGGUAUAUAAAUAUACUUCAUUUGUAUAUUUUUUACUUGCUAAAAUCUAUCCAAAUUGGUAUUACCUCAAACCAUAAUCUUCUACUGUAUUUUAUAAUUUUACUUUAUUGCCAUGUAUUUUUCCCACUGAUGUUCACAAAUUCACAGGAAACAUCAGCCAUGUACUAAAUAAAAUAUGAAUUGAAUCGACAAAUAGAACUAUAAAUUUAAUUCAAGCACAUGUAAAAUUUAGACCAAAGAAUAAAAAUGUCUAUUAAAAAUACAGCCAAGCAUGGUGGCUCACACCUGUAAUCCCAGCACUUUGGGAGGCCGAGGUGGGUGAAUCAUCUGAGGUCAAGAGUUUGAGACCAGCUGGCCAUUGUGGUGAAACCCCAUCUCUACUAAAAUACAAAAAUUAGCUGGGUGUGAUGGUGGGCACCUGUAAUCCCACUACUUGGGAGGCUGAGGCAGGAGAAUCGCUUGAACCCAGGA
rnacentral:lncRNA from 1 species